UAAAAGUCAGAUUGUAUUGAUACUCAGCAAAAACAAGGUAACUUAUCAUUACUAAUCAAUCCUUUUACUGAAAGGCAAGUUGCUCUUGUGCUGGAGCUGAGAAGAGGUCUGCUGCCUGCAAUGGGUCCAUCUCUCUCAAGUUAUCGCAGUAUUGUAACUCUCAAAGUUCAAAAAAGUAUGGUGGAAGCUGUUGCCACGGUUCCGAUCAGAAAAGACUGCCAGUAUAAAAGGGUCCACACCACUGAUCUCUACUACAGGGGAUGGACAGCACAUCGAGCACCCUCGACUGAAGCCAACCUUGUCCCGGAAGUUGGUGCUUCACAACUUUGCGGCAGCACUUCGUUUGCACGGCCUGUGGAGACAAGGUUUCUUAGACAUGGCCAUGGCCCUCAAGGAAGAUGCCGAGGCCACAGGCAGUUCCUCCAGUGACCGUGAAAAGGUCCCCUGUGGCACAAGUCUAAUUUGGCACCCCCACCUUUCUCCUGCAGCUUUUCUGUCUACAUAGCUAACCAGCAGCAAGUUUAUCCUUGCAAGCAUUUUGGGUCAAGAACAACUUCCACCAGGAAGAAGUGCAAGACGAGUGAUUGAAGAAAAUAAAGUUGCUUCUGUGAUCUAAGAACUUGAGGACUGAA
rnacentral:misc_RNA from 1 species